UACGUAGGGUGCGAGCGUUGUCCGGAAUUAUUGGACGUAAAGAGCUUGUAGGCGGUCUGUCGCGUCUGCUGUGAAAAUCCGGGGCUCAACCCCGGACUUGCAGUGGGUACGGGCAGACUAGAGUGUGGUAGGGGAGACUGGAAUUCCUGGUGUAGCGGUGAAAUGCGCAGAUAUCAGGAGGAACACCGAUGGCGAAGGCAGGUCUCUGGGCCACUACUGACGCUGAGACGCGAAAGCGUGGGGAGCGAACCGG
rnacentral:rRNA from 1 species